CAGCCGCCGCGGUAAUACGAAGGGUGCAAGCGUUAAUCGGAAUUACUGGGCGUAAAGCGUGCGUAGGCGGUUUGUUAAGUCUGUUGUGAAAUACCCGGGCUCAACCUGGGAAUGGCAAUGGAUACUGGCAAGCUAGAGUGUGUUAGAGGAUGGUGGAAUUCCCGGUGUAGCGGUGAAAUGCGUAGAGAUCUGGAGGAAUACCGGUGGCGAAGGCGGCCCCCUGGACAAAGACUGACGCUCAGGUGCGAAAGCGUGGGGAGCAAACAGGAUUAGAUACCCGGGUAGUCCCUGUCUCUUAUAC
rnacentral:rRNA from 1 species